rnacentral:rRNA from 1 species
UGAGGAAUAUUGGGCAAUGCCCGCAAGGGUGACCCAGCAACGCCGCGUGGAGGAUGAAUGUCGUAAGAUUGUAAACUCCUGUUAGAGGGGAAGAAUAGUACCGGUUGGACCGGUAUAUGACUGUACCCUCAGAGAAAGCCCCGGCUAACUACGUGCCAGCAGCCGCGGUAAUACGUAGGGGGCAAGCGUUGUCCGGAUUUACUGGGUGUAGAGGGCGCGCAGGCGGGAUAAAAAGUCAGUGGUGAAAUCCUACAGCUUAACUGUAGAACUGCCUUUGAUACUUGUAUUCUGGAGUUCGGGAGAGAGAGACGGAAUUCCAGGUGUAGGGGGGAAAUACGUAGAUAUCUGGAAGAACACCAGGUGCGAAGGCGGUCUCUUGGUCCGACACUGACGCUGAGGCGCGAAAGCGUGGGGAGCAAACA